CCUGGAGUUACUGUAAAAGACUUUAACCAGCAGGAGAUCGUCAGAGCUCUAGCAGCCUUCCUCAAAAAGUCCAGGAAACUGAGAGUCCCGGAAUGUGUGGACACAGUAAAGCUGGCCAAACAUAAAGAGCUUGCCCAUAUGAUGAGAACUGGUUCUACCCACGAAAUGCUUCCACAGCUCGGCACCUGUACCUCCGCGGUGGUGCAGGGGUUGGUUCUGUGACCAAGAUCUACAGAGGAUGGCAGAGAAAUGGUGUUAGGCCCAGCCACUUAAGCAGAGGCUCUGAGAGUGUGGCCAGCCAGGUCCUCCAAGCCCUGGAGGGGCUGAAAAUGGCCGAGAUGGGGACUGCAAGCUAACACAUCAGGGACAGAGACAUCUGGACAGGAUCGCUGGACAGGUAGCAACUGCCAACAAAAAGCAUUAA
rnacentral:lncRNA from 1 species